rnacentral:tmRNA from 1 species
GGGGCUGAUUCUGGAUUCGACGGGAUUUGCGAAACCCAAAGUGCAUGCCGAGGGGCGGUUGGCCUCGUAAAAAGCCGCAAAAAAUAGUCGCAAACGACAAAAACUACGCUUUAGCAGCUUAAUAACCUGCUUAGAGCCCUCUCUCCCUAGCCUCCGCUCUUAGGACGGGGAUCAAGAGAGGUCAAACCCAAAAGAGAUCGCGUGGAAGCCCUGCCUGGGGUUGAAGCGUUAAAACUUAAUCAGGCUAGUUUGUUAGUGGCGUGUCCGUCCGCAGCUGGCAAGCGAAUGUAAAGACUGACUAAGCAUGUAGUACCGAGGAUGUAGGAAUUUCGGACGCGGGUUCAACUCCCGCCAGCUCCACCA